rnacentral:rRNA from 1 species
CUACGGGGUGCAGCAGUGGGGAAUAUUGCACAAUGGAGGAAACUCUGAUGCAGCAACGCCGCGUGGAGGAUGACACUUUUCGGAGCGUAAACUCCUUUUAUAUAGGAAGAUAAUGACGGUACUAUAUGAAUAAGCACCGGCUAACUCCGUGCCAGCAGCCGCGGUAAUACGGAGGGUGCAAGCGUUACUCGGAAUCACUGGGCGUAAAGAGCGUGUAGGCGGGUUAAUAAGUCAGAAGUGAAAUCCAAUGGCUCAACCAUUGAACUGCUUUUGAAACUGUUAACCUAGAAUAUGGGAGAGGUAGAUGGAAUUUCUGGUGUAGGGGUAAAAUCCGUAGAGAUCAGAAGGAAUACCGAUUGCGAAGGCGAUCUACUGGAACAUUAUUGACGCUGAGACGCGAAAGCGUGGGGAGCAAACAGGAUUAGAUACCCCUGUAGUC